rnacentral:ncRNA from 1 species
AAGCACAAAGGUUUGGUCCUGGCCUUACUGUUAAUUUUUAUUAGACCUACACAUGCAAGUUUCCGCAACCCGGUGAGUAUGCCCUUUUAACUUCCAUUGAGUUUAAAGGAGCUGGUAUCAGGGACAUUUACAAAAGUAGCCCAUGACACCUUGUUUAACCACACCCCCACGGGUUACAGCAGUGACUAACAUUGAGCUAUAAACGAAACUUUGACUAAAUCAUAAUAAAAAGGGUUGGUAAAUCUCGUGCCAGCCACCGCGGUCAUACGAUUAACCCAAAUUAACAGAAGAAUGGCGUAAAGGGUGUUUAAGCAUUCAAUCCACCAAAUAAAGUUAAAGCUCAACUGCGCUGUAAUACGCCCUAGUUGAUAUUAAAAUACGCAACUUACGUGACUUGACCCAUGCUGAAGACACUAAAGCUAAGGCACAAACUGGGAUUAGAGACCCCACUAUGCUUAGCCGUAAACUAAGGUAAUUAAAUUACAAAAUUACUCGCCAGAGAACUACUACCCACUGCUUAAAACUCAAAGGACUUGGUGGUGCCCUAGACCCUCCUAGAGGAGCCUGUUCUAUAAUCGAUAAACCCCGAUACACCUCACCCCUUCUCGCUUAUCAAUCUAUAUACCGCCAUCGUCAGCUCAUCCCAAUAGGGUUCCAAAGUGAGCAAAAUCAUGAAACCAUAAAAACGUUAGGUCAAGGUGUAGCAUAUGAAGGGGGAAGCAAUGGGCUACAUUUUCUAUGUUAGAACACAACGGAUUGUCUAUUGAAACAAAGACUGGAGGAUUUAGUAGUAAAUUAAGAAUAGAGAGCUUAAUUGAAAUAGGCAAUAGGGUGCGUAAACACCGCCCAUCACCCUUGGACAAUCAAAAUGUAGCUUAAAUAAAGCAUUUAGCUUACACCUAAAAGAUUUCAGCUAAUCCUGACCAUUUCCAGAGGGCGGAGGCCCAGGGGCUGGGGGACCAGACAGAGCCGCAUUU